rnacentral:lncRNA from 1 species
UAGCAGCUAGUUCAUGAGCCCUUCUAUUGCCUUCCCUUCCCUGGAAAACACUCCUCUCCUUCCCUGAAUUCCAACCCUUCCCAGAAACCCUAGUCCAUCAUCCCAGAAACUCCAGCUUCCAUGGCGUCCAAGAAGAAACAAUCAGAAGGCAUCUUUGUACAGGGGUGACUUUCUCUGCUUCAAUUUUUUUUUGCUGAGAAAUUCCCAAAAACCAGGGGUGACUUCCUGCUUAGUCACCCCUGUGCCUCCGCCACUGCUGAGAGACGAGAUCGAUCGUGAUCAUCAUCACUUAUGUAUAAUAAACUAUGAUGCAUGUUUUUUAAGCUUAAUUAUUGAUUUUUAAAUCAACCGUUGCGAUAGCUAAAACUU